CGCCGCGUGAGCGAUGAAGGCCUUCGGGUCGUAAAGCUCUGUUGUUAGGGAAGAACAAGUACCGUUCAAAUAGGGCGGUACCUUGACGGUACCUAACCAGAAAGCCACGGCUAACUANGUGCCAGCAGCCGCGGUAAUACGUAGGUGGCAAGCGUUGUCCGGAAUUAUUGGGCGUAAAGCGCGCGCAGGCGGUCUCUUAAGUCUGAUGUGAAAGCCCACGGCUCAACCGUGGAGGGUCAUUGGAAACUGGGGGACUUGAGUACUGGAGAGGAGAGUGGAAUUCCAUGUGUAGCGGUGAAAUGCGUAGAUAUAUGGAGGAACACCAGUGGCGAAGGCGGCUCUCUGGCCAGUAACUGACGCUGAGGCGCGAAAGCGUGGGGAGCAAACAGGAUUAGAUACCCUGGUAGUCCACGCCGUAAACGAUGAGUGCUAGGUGUUGGGGGGUUCCACCCUCAGUGCUGACGUUAACACAUUAAGCACUCCGCCUGGGGAGUACGGCCGCAAGGCUGAAACUCAAAGGAAUUGACGGGGGCCCGCACAAGCAGUGGAGCAUGUGGUUUAAUUCGAAGCAACGCGAAGAACCUUACCAGGUCUUGACAUCCUUCGCUACUUCUAGAGAUAGAAGGUUCCCCUUCGGGGGACGAAGUGACAGGUGGUGCAUGGUUGUCGUCAGCUCGUGUCGUGAGAUGUUGGGUUAAGUCCCGCAACGAGCGCAACCCUUGAUCUUAGUGCCAGCAUUCAGUUGGGCACUCUAAGGUGACUGCCGGUGACAAACCGGA
rnacentral:rRNA from 1 species